rnacentral:piRNA from 1 species
UUAGACUCACUACUACAGCCUGGUA